CCCUGCACUACGGCCAAGGAUAUUCUUUAGCAUCACGACCACAAUUAUCCAUGCACUACGGGCCAAGAAUAUUUGUGUAUUCAAUAAUGGUCAUGAUCAUGCCAACAACUGUCCAUCAAUGCUCUACGGGCCAAUGAGGACUUUUACCACAUCAUUUGUAACAUUAUGGUCAUGAUUACACCGAAUAAUUCCUGGUCAUAAUCAUAC
rnacentral:lncRNA from 1 species